GAUGAAUGCUGGCGGCGUGCCUAACACAUGCAAGUCGAGCGGUAAGGCCCUUCGGGGGUACACGAGCGGCGGACGGCUGAGUAACGCGUGGGAACAUGCCCCAAAGUGAGGGAUAAGCUCCAGAAAUGGAGUCUAAUACCGCAUAUGAUCUUCGGAUUAAAGGAUUUAUCCCGCUUUGGGAGUGGCCUGCGUACGAUUAGAUAGUUGGUGAGGUAAUGGCUUACCAAGUCUACGAUCGUUAACUGGUCUGAGAGGAUGAUCAGUCAGACUGGAACUGAGACACGGUCCAGACUCCUACGGGAGGCAGCAGUGAGGAAUCUUCCACAAUGGGCGAAAGCCUGAUGGAGCAACGCCGCGUGCAGGAUGAAAGGCCUUCGGGUCGUAAACUGCUUUAUAAGUGAAGAAU
rnacentral:rRNA from 1 species